UAGUUUGAAGCCCGCUGGUUUGGGUUUUUAGUUGUUAACUAACUGUUUACGGGAUCGAGGCCCGUCAAGCUAU
rnacentral:tRNA from 1 species